UACAGAGGUCCCAAGCGUUGUUCGGAUUCACUGGGCGUAAAGGGUGCGUAGGCGGUCGGGUAAGUCUGAUGUGAAAUCUCACAGCUUAACUGUCAAACUGCAUUGGAUACUAUCCGGCUCGAGGAAUGGAGGGGAGACUGGAAUACUUGGUGUAGCAGUGAAAUGCGUAGAUAUCAAGUGGAACACCAGUGGCGAAGGCGAGUCUCUGGACAUUUCCUGACGCUGAGGCACGAAAGCCAGGGGAGCAAACGGG
rnacentral:rRNA from 1 species